rnacentral:rRNA from 1 species
UCCGGUUGAUCCUGCCGGAGGUCAUUGCUAUCCGAGUCUGGCUAAGCCAUGCUGGUCUUCCCGCAAGGGAGGCAGAUAGCUCAGUAACACGUAGUCAAUCUGCCCUUAGGUAUGGGAUAAUCUUGGGAAACUGUGGCCUAAUCCCGUAUAGGUAAAAGGUGCUGGAAUGCUCUUUUACCCAAAGCUUCGGCGCCUAAGGAUGAGACUGCGGCCUAUUAGGCUGUUGUUAGGAUAAAAGCCUAACAAACCUAUAAUGGGUACGGGCCUUGAGAGAGGGAACCCGGAGUUGGAUUCUGAGACAAGAAUCCAGGCCCUACGGGGCGCAGCAGGCGCGAAACUUUACCAAUGCACGCAAGUGUGAGUAAGAGACUUGGAGUGGCUUCACUUUGUGGAGUCUUUUCUUUAGUGUAAAUAGCUAGAGGAAUAAGGGGUGGGUAAGACGGGUGCCAGCCGCCGCGGUAAUACCCGCGCCCCGAGUUGUGACCUCGAUUAUUGGGCUUAGAGCGGUCGUAGCCGGUUCGAUAAGUUUCUGGUGAAAUCUGGCAGCAAACUGUCAGGCAUGCUAGGGAUACAGUUGAACUUGGGACCGGGAGAGGCUGAGGGUAUUCUUGGGGUAAGGGUAAAAUCUUCUAAUCCCAAGAGGACCACCUGUGGCGAAGGCGCUCAGCUGGAACGGAUCCGACGGUGAGGGACGAAAGCGUGGGGAGCAAAUGGGAUUAGAUACCCCAGUAGUCCACGCUGUAAACGAUGCCCACUAGAUGGUUAGGAGUCCUUCAAGGGCUUCUAGUUUCGAAGCGAAAGCGUUAAGUGGGCCGCCUGGGGAGUACGGUCGCAAGACUGAAACUUAAGGGAAUUGGCGGGGGAGCACACAAGGGGUGGAGGCUGCGGUUUAAUUGGACCCAACGCCGGGAACCUUAUCAGGGGCGACAGCAGAGUGAAGGUCAGGCUGAAGACCUUACCAGACAAGCUGAGAAGUAGUGCAUGGCCGUCGUCAGUUCGUGCCGUGAGGCGUCCUGUUAAGUCAGGUAACGAACGAGACCCACACCCUAUGUUGGUAACAUAAUUAAUUUUAUGUCCACUCAUAGGGGACCGCUGGCGAUAAGUCAGAGGAAGGAGUGGGCAACGGCAGGUCCGUAUGCCCUGAAUCCCCUGGGCUACACGCGGCCUACAAUGGACAGAACAAUGUGUUGCAAUACCGAAAGGUAAAGCUAAUCACGAAAUCUGUUCCUAGUUCAGAUUGAGGGUUGCAACUUACCCUCAUGAAGCCGAAAUCCCUAGUAGUCGCUGUUUAGCAUACAGCGGCGAAUACGUUCCUGCUCCUUGCACACACUGCCCGUCAAGCCAUCCGAGUAGAUUUUAAGUGAGCCUCUAUCUUAUUGGUAGAGUCGAACUUAGUUUCUGCGAGGAGGGCUAAGUCGUAACAAGGUA